rnacentral:rRNA from 1 species
AAACCUGCAGGGAGGUCCCAGAGCACACGACCGCUCACCUCAUUCGACUCGAGCAACCCUCUUGCUCCAGUCCAAGACAGGAGCAUGGAAGAGGACUCGAGUCAGAGCAAAGGACUGCAUGAUGUCACUCUCUUUGACAUGGCCACGAUUGCCUCCUCCACCGACAACUUCGCGGCGGCGGCCAAGCUCGGCGAAGGCGGUUUCGGCGCCGUCUACAAGGGUGAGCUUGGGGGAGGGCAGAAGGUGGCGGUGAAACGGCUGUCCAAGUACUCGACGCAGGGCCUGGACGAGUUCAAGAACGAGGUGGUGCUCAUCGCCAAGCUCCAGCACGUGAACCUCGUCAGGCUCUUGGGCUGCUGCGUCCAUGGAGAGGAGAGGAUCCUGGUGUACGAGUACAUGGAGAACAAGAGCCUGGACAUGCUCCUCUUCGAUAAGGCUCGAUCGGCGCAACUGGACUGGCCGAAGCGGUUUGACAUCGUACUGGGCGUCGCACGGGGGCUCCUGUACCUGCACCAGGACUCGAGGUUCAAGGUCAUCCACCGGGACCUCAAGGCCGGCAACAUCCUCCUCGACGGCGACAUGAACCCCAAGAUCUCCGACUUCGGCGUCGCCAGGAUCUUCGGUGGCGACGGCGCCGACUCACACACCCGAAGGGUCGUCGGGACAUACGGGUACAUGUCCCCCGAGUACGCCAUGGACGGCGUCUUCUCGGUGAAGUCCGACGUGUUCAGCUUCGGCGUGCUGGUGCUCGAGAUCGUCAGCGGCAGGAAGAACCGGGGAAUGUACAGCAGCGGCGAGCAGACGAGCCUGCUCAGCCACGCAUGGAAGCUGUGGAGGGAGGGCAACGCGCUGGGGCUGCUAGACGAGGCGGUGGCCAGCGGCGGCGACCGGGAGUCGGAGGAGGUGCUGCGGUGCGUGCAGGUCGGGCUGCUGUGCGUGCAGGAACGGCCGGAGGACCGGCCGCACAUGGCCACGGUGUUUCUGAUGCUGGCCAACCUGAGCGCGUUGAUGCCACAGCCUAGGCACCCGGGCUACUGCAGCGACCGGGGAUCAACCUCCACCGACGGCGACUGCUCCUUGAGCUGCACCGUCAAUGAAAUCACCCUCACCGUCGUCGAGGGCCGGUGA